GGCUCCCUAAGCGGGGGCAGGGCUUGUUAUUUUGGAAGCGAGCCCAAAGCCAAGGAGCCCUUUCACAAACUCUUCUUUCCCUUCUCUACCCAGAAGGCAAGGUGGUAACGACUUCCUGUUCAUUUCCACAGCCCAGAGUUGCCCAAACUCGCCUGAUUCUAGGAUUCACCCGAGUACCUGUUACUUGUUAAAUACCGAUUCUCGGCCGCCACCCCAGAACUUCUGAACCAGAAUGGCGCUUGUCGGGUUGGGGUCUGGGAAGCCUUCUAGAAGCACAGGCAGGGCUGGCUCCCCUGCUCAGAUGGUGGAAGGCGGCGUGUGCGGGGAGAGAGGAACGGGCGUGGCCAAGGCCAGCUGGCCGUGCCAGGUACAGGGGCCCACUGUCUCCCUGCUUCCUUUUUCCCAAGGUUGGCCCGGUCCAUUAAAGGAAAACUAGUUUAGGUCCUCUGUAUACCACCCCCCUUUCCAGUUUCCCCUUAAGUGGCUCUUAAAGAUGCUUUCAGGCUGAUUUUCUCCCAGUACUGGUGGAGAGGCUUGGGGAGGGUGGGUGGGAGGCACUGGAAUUGCUCCGUUAGGGCGUUCCAGGCUGAGGUGGGCUGCCCUGACUGCACAGCAGCGUCCCUUUUCUACCUGGGGGCUUCGGGAGCUGCUUCUGCCUGGGCGCACCCCCGGAGGGUGAUCCGACUGGGCUGGGGUGAGGCGGGCUGGUGCGCAGCGUGAGAGGAAGAGCCCCGCCCCGGGCCGGUGCACGUGAUGUGACUUGCUGCUGGGCCCUUGGGAGGGGCCCGAGGGAGGAGAGCCAGGCUGACCGAGCCCGGGGUUAGGAGCCUGGGCUCUGCGCCCGGUUCUCUGGCUCCUCUCGCUGUUUGAGGUGACCUUGUGAGCGUCUCUCUGUCUCAGUUUUCUCCUCUGUAGAAUGGGAUUAAUGAUAGCACCUACCUCAUAAGGUGGCUGGGGGGGUUAAUUGUGUUAAUACUGACAGAGCACUUGGGACAGUGAGCUGGGGAGGGCAUCCCUGGCCGCUGACCUUCUAAUCAGAUUGUCAGGCUGAGGACCGGGGGCCUUCUGUAACUGGUGAGUGCUGGAGGUGUCUGGCGGGCAGGGAGCCGCGUUUCAGUGCUUGGCACCCUCACCCAUACCGCCUUCCUCGCUUGGCUCAGGUCCAAAACCUGGGUGUGGCCUCUGAUCCCUCCCUCCCUCGCUCCCUGAGUAUCUCUUGGGUCCACCCACUUCCCUGUCCCCGCCACCACCUCCCUGGUCUGAGCCACCUUUGUCUCUUGCCUGGACCUUUGCGCGGCCCUCUGACUGGUCUCCGCUGCCAUUUUGGCCCAUCUCGGAUCUGCUCGUCAUGGUGCAAUUAGGAGUCUCUUUCCAAGAUGCAGGUAUAAUUAUGUGCAAACUAGUACCUGAUUCCUGCAUCCACCCUACCCCCACCCCUCAACCCUCAGCUGAAAUCAAAUAAAACCUCUCCCAUUGUUCUCAGGAGACACCAUCCUAACAUCCUGUGGGACCCCAUGCCCCUGCGGUAAUGCUGACCUCUGGCACCCCUCUCUUCUCCUCCUGCACCUGCCCCAGUGGCCAUUUUCCAGUGGCCUGAGCAGGCCUUCGUCCCUGACCCCUCUGCUUGGGCGGCACCACCCUUCCGACCAUCCCGGACCCCACAUACGUGCGUUGGGUACCGUCCAUCUCGGUUUGCACCUGUUGUUCUGAUGUAUUUAUUAACAGCACCUACCUUUAUUUACGAGUGCCCCAGUUUGGAUGAUAAACUGAGUGGUCCCCCUUUCACAUUUACAAUCUCUUCAUCUAAUUAAAAUUCCUCAGCUUUAAAAAUUCACUGACUUCCUCAAAGUAGUGGUCGGACAUACACCCUGGACCAGGUUAGGGACCCGGUUUAGCCUCAUGCCUUCAGAACUUUUCCCGUAUGCACUGAAGCUCGGCUUGCAAAUAUAUACUUACUGAUAUGAGUUUUUGAUUAACAUUUGUCAUCCUUGUUAGACCACAGGGUCCUUGAUUUAAGGGGCUUCCCUUAAAUCUUGGGCUUCCCUGGUGGCGCAGUGGUUAAGAAUCCACCUGCCAAUGCAGGGGACAUG